rnacentral:tRNA from 1 species
AAGGAUUUAAGUUAAAAAUUAAACUUGAAGCCUUCAAAGCUUCCCAUAAAGAUCACUUCUUUAAGCCUUA